GUGAGUGACAGUUUUUAAAUCCAUUACCAUUAGAAAACCACAGGUUUUAAGAAAAUUUUAUUUUCCAUUUAUAUUGAGGUACAAUUGACAUAUAGUAAAUUUCACCCUUUUAAGCACACAGUUCUUAGAAUUUUGAAAUACAGUUAUGUAACCACCACCACAAUCAAGAUACACAACAGUGCCAUCGGCCCCUAAAAUUCCCCCAUGCCUCUUUUGUAACCAUCCCCUCUUCAAACCGCAGCCCUUGGCAACCACUAAUCUGUUUUUCUUCCUGUAGUUUGGCUUUCUUAAGAAUGUCGUAUAAACUGAGUCAUGGAGUAGGUAGCCCUUGGUAUCCUGCUUCUUUCAGCUAGCAUAAUGCAUGUGAGAUCCAUUCAUGCUGUUGUGCAAAACAGUAGUUUGUUUCUUUUUAUUGCUGAGUAAGGAUUUUAUUGUAUGGAAUGUACCAGUUUGUUUAUCCAUUCUCCAGUUGAGAAACAUUUGGGUAGUUUUUAGUUCCUGGUGAUGACAGAUAAAGCUGCUGCAAACAUUCAUGUGCAUAUUUUCGUGAGGAUGUAGUUUUCAUUUCACUUGAGUAAAUGCAAAGCAGUGAGAUUGCUGGGUCAUACACUUCUAGACUUCCCAUGUUCCAAGUCCACUUCUGCCGGCAGAAUAGAAACCUCGUCAGUUAUCACAACUCAGAUGAAAAAGCCUCACAGCUUGCGGUGUUGACAGUAUUCUAGAAGACCCUACACCCCUGUGGCUUCUCGAUGACUAAUGUGGAGCCAGCAUCUGUCAGCACAAACUCAGAGUGAUUACCCAGAAAUAGGUAUCCUUCUAAUUAAAAUAUCUGACCAUGUCCCCAUCAGCCACUUGCCUCAUUUGGGACACCACCAACCAUCCUGCACGGCUGCCCAUGUUUCUGUUUCUCCAGCCCAAGCAUGCAGUUUCAGUAGGUCCUUCAGAGGCUGCCUGAAAGGAGCUCCUGAAUUUCACAGACAAAUCCAGACCCCUGUGUGGAAAGCCUGCGGUGGUGUUCUCCGUCUUCCCACAGGACUCCCUGCAGCCAGGAAUUCUAGGGGAGCACCUGACGCGAGGUAUACGCCCAGAUGGCCUGAAGUAACUGAAGAAUCACAAAAGAAGUGAAAAUGUCCUGCCCCGCCUUAACUGAUGACAUUCCACCACAAAGGAAGUGUCAAUGGCUGGUCCUUGCCUUAACUGAUGACAUUCCACCGCAAAAGAAGUGAAAAUGGCCGGUCCUUGCCUUAACUGAUGACAUUACACCACAAAAGAAGUGAAAAUGGCCGGUCCUUGCCUUAAGUGAUGGCAUUACCUUGUGAAAGUCCUUUUCCUGGCUCAUUCUGGCUCAAAAUCACCCCCACUGAGCACCUUGUGACCCCCACUCCUGCCCGCCAGGGAACAAUCCCCCUUUGACUGUAAUUUUCCUUUACCUACCCAAAUCUUAUAAAAUGGCCCCACCCCUAUCUCCCUUUGCUGACUCUCUUUUUGGACUCAGCCUGCCUGCAUCCAGGUGAUUAAAAGCUUUUAUUGCUCACACA
rnacentral:lncRNA from 10 species